rnacentral:rRNA from 1 species
CGCGUGAGGGAGGGGCUUUUGGGUUGUAAACUCUUUUUAUCAGGGAAGAAACAAAUGACGGUACCUGAUGAAUCAGCAUCGGCUAACUCCGUGCCAGCAGCCGCGGUAAUACGGAGGAUGCAAGCGUUAUCCGGAAUUAUUGGGCGUAAAGCGUCCGUAGGUGGUUUUUCAAGUCUGCUGUCAAAGCGUGGAGCUUAACUCCAUAUCGGCAGUGGAAACUGGGAGACUAGAGUGCGAUAGGGGUAACGGGAAUUCCCAGUGUAGCGGUGAAAUGCGUAGAGAUUGGGAAGAACACCAGCGGCGAAAGCGCGUUACUGGGUCUGCACUGACACUGAGGGACGAAAGCUAGGGGAGCGAAAGGGAUUAGAUACCCCCAGA